AAGUCGUAACAAGGUCUCCGUAGGUGAACCUGCGGAGGGAUCAUUAACACUAUCAACACAAAGUAGACGUUUGACGUAAAACAUCAAAUGCGCUUACUUUUGUUAUACCAACUCGUGAACGAAACAUUAUGUAUUUCUCUCGCUUAGCUUUGUGAUAAUAAGCAUAGCUAAGUGUUGUUUUUAUUGUAUUUUUAUUAUACAAACUAACAUCUUCAACAGUAUAACUUGUACCACAUAGAAUGCAUUCUUUUUGAGUGUAUUGUAUGCUGUGUUACUUUUAGUUAACAAACUAAGCACAACUCUUAGCAACGGAUAUCUCGGUUCUCGUAACGAUGAAAAACGCAGC
rnacentral:misc_RNA from 1 species